rnacentral:lncRNA from 1 species
GUUCUGGAGAGCACUCUGGGCUUAUUUCGUAAUUACCCGUCUCUUCCUCCUGCCAGAGCCAAGACAGAAUCUUCCUUGACUCCUCACCAAAAGAUCCUAAUGGGUUUCCUAGAGGUAGAAUUAGCAAACGUAUGAGAUGCCCCCUAAAACUGAAGCCCCUGGAGUUUCUUGCUGUCAUGUUAGUUUAUACUCAGUUGCCAGCAAUUUGUUGAAAUUACUAUUCAAGUCUUCCCACCAUUUUAUGGUUCCCGUGACUUCUGCUCCAGAGAAGGAGAAAGUGAAGAGGAUAUAAAUGAGCAGAGAGGACUUUGAGAACAGCAAUUUGAAAGGCUAGAGAAGAAAGACCUGCAAAGGAGAAUAAGAGGUGGUUAAACAAUGAGAAGCCACAUCUGGAGAAGACUGCACACAACUCAGAGAUCCUAGACAUUGGGCUGGAUAAUUGGUUUGGAUGGGUCAGUCUUCCUUGGAAAUAGAGUGAUGUAUUUGACGCGUGGUAAUAAGGGAGCAAAGAGAUAUUUGGUGACCAAAAGCAGUAACUGUGACAGAGAUUGCUAGUGCUCAUUGGUAUCCACGUUAUCUUUUUCUUCUCUCCACAAAACCACACUAUAUUACCCAGCAUCCCCUACAGUUAUGUCAGGCCACGUGUCUGAGUUUGGGCUGAUAGAAUGGUAGAGGCGGUGAUGUAGACCACUUCCAGGUCUAUCCCAUAAAAUCUACUACUCUACAUUUAUUUUCUUUCCUCGUCUCCUGACUGGUUGAAGGUAAUUCAAUAGAGGACUUAUGACUCUAAAAUUCAGAAGAGCAACUAGAUUGAGUAAUUGUGUGGCACAGAACUCUCGACACACUGACCCACAUCAGUAUGUGAUAUGAGCAAGAAAUAAAACUUUGCUGUAGUAAGCCACUGAGGUUUGAGUGUUGCCAUAACUAGCAUUACUUAUGUUGACUGAUACAGAAACAUGCUUAUGACUAGACUUGCUGGAUCAUAGGCUAUGUAUAUGUUCAACUUUACUAGAAAAUGCCAAUUUCCCCAGUAUCAUUGAACUGACUUAUAGUCCUAUGGGUGAAUUAUAAAAGUAUUCUAGUGGCUGCAUAUUCUUCCCAACACUUUCUAUUGUCAUAUUUAAAUUAUUUGCCAAUAUAGUGGUAUAAAAUAGUAUCUAUUAAGGAUUUAAUUUGAAUUUUCCUGAGUACUAAGGAGGAUGGUCAUAUGUUUAUUAACUCUUUGGUUAACUUCUUCCAUGAAGUAUUUGUUCAAAUCUUUUACUCAUGUUUCUGUUCAGUCCUCUGCAUUUUUUCAUAUGCAUAUAUGUAUAUAUAUACUCAUACAUAUGUAUGCAUAUAUGCGUAUGUGUGUAUAUACAUAUAGUGUUAUAUAUACUUAUAGAGAGAGAGUUAUGUAUAUAUAGUUACU